rnacentral:rRNA from 1 species
CCUACGGGAGGCUGCAGUGAGGAAUAUUGGACAAUGGCCGGAAGGCUGAACCAGCCAUGCCGCGUGAAGGUCAGUGCCCUAUGGGCGUUAAACUUCUUUUGUGCGGGAGCAAUAAUGGUCACGUGUGGCCAGACGAGAGUACCGUACGAAUAAGCAUCGGCUAACUCCGUGCCAGCAGCCGCGGUAAUACGGGGGAUGCAAGCGUUAUCCGGAUUUAUUGGGUUUAAAGGGUGCGUAGGCUGUGAGGUAAGUCAGCGGUGAAAUGCCCCCGCUCAACGGGGUGAAGUGCCAUUGAUACUGCCUGGCUGGAAUGCGGAUGACGUGGGAGGAAUGUGUGGUGUAGCGGUGAAAUGCAUAGAUAUCACACAGAACACCGAUUGCGAAGGCAUCUCACGAAUCCGCGAUUGACGCUGAUGCACGAAAGCGUGGGUAUCAAACAGGAUUAGAUACCCCAGUAGUC